AGCGUACACGGUGGAUGCCCUGGCAGUCAGAGGCGAUGAAGGACGUGCUAAUCUGCGAUAAGCGUCGGUAAGGUGAUAUGAACCGUUAUAACCGGCGAUUUCCGAAUGGGGAAACCCAGUGUGAUUCGUCACACUAUCAUUAACUGAAUCCAUAGGUUAAUGAGGCGAACCGGGGGAACUGAAACAUCUAAGUACCCCGAGGAAAAGAAAUCAACCGAGAUUCCCCCAGUAGCGGCGAGCGAACGGGGAGCAGCCCAGAGCCUGAAUCAGUGUGUGUGUUAGUGGAAGCGUCUGGAAAGGCGUGCGAUACAGGGUGACAGCCCCGUACACAAAAAUGCACAUGCUGUGAGCUCGAUGAGUAGGGCGGGACACGUGGUAUCCUGUCUGAAUAUGGGGGGACCAUCCUCCAAGGCUAAAUACUCCUGACUGACCGAUAGUGAACCAGUACCGUGAGGGAAAGGCGAAAAGAACCCCGGCGAGGGGAGUGAAAAAGAACCUGAAACCGUGUACGUACAAGCAGUGGGAGCACAGAGCAAUCUGUGUGACUGCGUACCUUUUGUAUAAUGGGUCAGCGACUUAUAUUCUGUAGCAAGGUUAACCGAAUAGGGGAGCCGAAGGGAAACCGAGUCUUAACUGGGCGUUAAGUUGCAGGGUAUAGACCCGAAACCCGGUGAUCUAGCCAUGGGCAGGUUGAAGGUUGGGUAACACUAACUGGAGGACCGAACCGACUAAUGUUGAAAAAUUAGCGGAUGACUUGUGGCUGGGGGUGAAAGGCCAAUCAAACCGGGAGAUAGCUGGUUCUCCCCGAAAGCUAUUUAGGUAGCGCCUCGUGAAUUCAUCUCCGGGGGUAGAGCACUGUUUCGGCAAGGGGGUCAUCCCGACUUACCAACCCGAUGCAAACUGCGAAUACCGGAGAAUGUUAUCACGGGAGACACACGGCGGGUGCUAACGUCCGUCGUGAAGAGGGAAACAACCCAGACCGCCAGCUAAGGUCCCAAAGUCAUGGUUAAGUGGGAAACGAUGUGGGAAGGCCCAGACAGCCAGGAUGUUGGCUUAGAAGCAGCCAUCAUUUAAAGAAAGCGUAAUAGCUCACUGGUCGAGUCGGCCUGCGCGGAAGAUGUAACGGGGCUAAACCAUGCACCGAAGCUGCGGCAGCGACGCUUAUGCGUUGUUGGGUAGGGGAGCGUUCUGUAAGCCUGCGAAGGUGUGCUGUGAGGCAUGCUGGAGGUAUCAGAAGUGCGAAUGCUGACAUAAGUAACGAUAAAGCGGGUGAAAAGCCCGCUCGCCGGAAGACCAAGGGUUCCUGUCCAACGUUAAUCGGGGCAGGGUGAGUCGACCCCUAAGGCGAGGCCGAAAGGCGUAGUCGAUGGGAAACAGGUUAAUAUUCCUGUACUUGGUGUUACUGCGAAGGGGGGACGGAGAAGGCUAUGUUGGCCGGGCGACGGUUGUCCCGGUUUAAGCGUGUAGGCUGGUUUUCCAGGCAAAUCCGGAAAACUAAGGCUGAGGCGUGAUGACGAGGCACUACGGUGCUGAAGCAACAAAUGCCCUGCUUCCAGGAAAAGCCUCUAAGCAUCAGGUAACAUCAAAUCGUACCCCAAACCGACACAGGUGGUCAGGUAGAGAAUACCAAGGCGCUUGAGAGAACUCGGGUGAAGGAACUAGGCAAAAUGGUGCCGUAACUUCGGGAGAAGGCACGCUGAUAUGUAGGUGAAGCGACUUGCUCGUGGAGCUGAAAUCAGUCGAAGAUACCAGCUGGCUGCAACUGUUUAUUAAAAACACAGCACUGUGCAAACACGAAAGUGGACGUAUACGGUGUGACGCCUGCCCGGUGCCGGAAGGUUAAUUGAUGGGGUCAGCGCAAGCGAAGCUCUUGAUCGAAGCCCCGGUAAACGGCGGCCGUAACUAUAACGGUCCUAAGGUAGCGAAAUUCCUUGUCGGGUAAGUUCCGACCUGCACGAAUGGCGUAAUGAUGGCCAGGCUGUCUCCACCCGAGACUCAGUGAAAUUGAACUCGCUGUGAAGAUGCAGUGUACCCGCGGCAAGACGGAAAGACCCCGUGAACCUUUACUAUAGCUUGACACUGAACAUUGAGCCUUGAUGUGUAGGAUAGGUGGGAGGCUUGGAAGUGUGGACGCCAGUCUGCAUGGAGCCGACCUUGAAAUACCACCCUUUAAUGUUUGAUGUUCUAACGUUGACCCGUAAUCCGGGUUGCGGACAGUGUCUGGUGGGUAGUUUGACUGGGGCGGUCUCCUCCUAAAGAGUAACGGAGGAGCACGAAGGUUGGCUAAUCCUGGUCGGACAUCAGGAGGUUAGUGCAAUGGCAUAAGCCAGCUUGACUGCGAGCGUGACGGCGCGAGCAGGUGCGAAAGCAGGUCAUAGUGAUCCGGUGGUUCUGAAUGGAAGGGCCAUCGCUCAACGGAUAAAAGGUACUCCGGGGAUAACAGGCUGAUACCGCCCAAGAGUUCAUAUCGACGGCGGUGUUUGGCACCUCGAUGUCGGCUCAUCACAUCCUGGGGCUGAAGUAGGUCCCAAGGGUAUGGCUGUUCGCCAUUUAAAGUGGUACGCGAGCUGGGUUUAGAACGUCGUGAGACAGUUCGGUCCCUAUCUGCCGUGGGCGCUGGAGAACUGAGGGGGGCUGCUCCUAGUACGAGAGGACCGGAGUGGACGCAUCACUGGUGUUCGGGUUGUCAUGCCAAUGGCACUGCCCGGUAGCUAAAUGCGGAAGAGAUAAGUGCUGAAAGCAUCUAAGCACGAAACUUGCCCCGAGAUGAGUUCUCCCUGACUCCUUGA
rnacentral:rRNA from 1 species